rnacentral:sRNA from 1 species
AAAAAGACAUUGCCGAAGACAGUAGGUGUCAUUGAGACAUAAGCGUAGCGCCUACCGAGGAAAGAGAAAGUAUCAAAGACUUUUUGCCUUCCGGUCUUCCGGGAGGCUUUUUUAAUA